AAAUGGAAACUCAUGUUGUUUCAACAUUGGGAAACCUGUAUGGUGAUGGAGUUACAUUUACCCUAGUUGAUCUACAACCAUCCAUGGCCUAGUUUUUAAGGAUCAGCUGAUGUACCUCUGAUGUCACCACCUGGUACUUUGCCAUCAGUCUAUCUUCUUCCUGGCUACGUCUCAGAUAUGCUAGUGUGGUUUUUACUUGAUGUUUAGCUCUAAGUUAUCAUUUAACAUUUUUCAUUAUGUCACUAUAUCAGAACUUCUGGCAUGUUAUUUAUUUAUUUAUUUUACUGUUAUCAUCAUUGCUAAAAGCUAUUGCAUUUAACCAAAGCUUUAAAACCAGUCCUCUUUUAGAUUGCCUUAUAAACGAUGUUUAAUUCAUCCAGCGAAUUUGGAUCUCUUAAUAUUCACUAAUCUUUUUUUUUUUGGUUUCUCAGUACUUUCACCCAUCUUAUCUAUUAAAAUUGUUACACUAAUGUCUUCUGAUAACGUGUGUGCUUUAGUUCCUAAAAUUACUUUGCAUUUUCAGUUCAGAAGUAUUUCAUUCCUAGACUACUAGGGGCACUUUUAAGAAAUUCCUUAAAUAUUUGUAAAGUGCCUAAAAUGAGCAGGAAGUUAUGACUCCUAUAAAGACGAAUAAGAUAUUCCAUAGCCUAGGAAAUUUUUAUAAUUGAAAAUAUGACUUUUUCUGCUUCUUCAUAGUGUUUGCCUUAGUGGCUUAUUUCGUUGUGUUUAUUGCACAGCUGUGGAGAUGAAUAACAUACUAAAUAAAUAAAGUUAAUGUGGUUGAAUUCUUAAUGGAAUUAUCUAUUGGGCAAUAUCUAAUGAAAAUACGAAUGCAUAAUUCUUUCACCCACCAAUUCCACUUUAAGAAAUUUAUCCUACAGAUAUAUUUUCACAAAUUUGGAAUGAAAAAUAUACAAGAUUAUUCAUUACAAUACUGUUUAUAACCACAAAAGUCUGGAAACAGCCCACAUGCUUGUCAACGGGUGACUGUAUAGUACAUUCACAUUAGGGAGCUCUCUUCGACUAUGCAAAAAAAAAAUAAUAGAGAAGCUCUGUCUGCUUAUACAGAGAGGCCUUCAAGAUUAAUGCUGAGUUCAAGUUACAAAAUCAUACAAUUCUAC
rnacentral:lncRNA from 1 species